UAAGUCAGCCGGAUCCAGAAUCCAGUCGGCUGGGUCCAGAGGACCUCCAGGGCAUCUCCCAGCUGCUCCCGAGAGAUCUACACUGCUGCGCUCACGUACUACUGCUGACUUUCCGUAUGUGGCUUGUUUGUCUCACGGUAGCACCCAUUUUAGUCAGCACUGUGGAAGCAUUCACGUAACCGCUGCCUCAGAGCCCACGGUCAUUUGCAGAGCAACAGGAAUUACACAUUUUGACGUGUGUUUGAAGGAAGAACUUUGAUACCCAGGGCUGACUUGGUCCAGAUGGAGUUUCUCCAGCUGGUUUAUACCACGGCGUCCCAGCAGCACUCGGGCUGGAAAGAUUCCCUUGGGGUUGGCGGUGCGAGUGAAGGUGCCCUCGGAGCAAGGCAGGGAGAGGGCAGUGGUCCACGAGCAGGUCGGGGUUGGCCGCGGUAUCUGCGUGCAGCUGCGCACCGCCCACCCCGUGCCGAAGCAGCAGCGCGUCCGCCGAGAGGGCCCAGGACACCCUGCGCGGCAGAACAUCCUCUCCGGUAGCUGGUUUUUAGGAGACAGGAUAAUCGAGAUUGAAGGAAAAAAAUCCUGGAAGGCACUUCUUUAAGAGAACGAACUAAAAAAAAAAAAAGGCCACAUUCUCAGAGUCCAGAGCAGGGAUGAAAAAUCAGCAGAAAAGAACGUGCAACAGAGGUUGUUGGAUAAACACAUCAUUCGCUCAAGAUGUGGUUUGGAGCCAGGGUGGAACAACAGCCCCACGGCACCAAAGGUCCCGGCUCUGCUGUUUGCUGUGGGUCUGGAGGACUUGGUCUGGGCUAGGAGCUUUCUCCAAUAUUUCCCUGCAGGAGCCUUGAGGAGACAAGGUUUAAACUCACUGUUUGCCGGGAGGCAAUAGGAUUCGUGCCAAGUAGCAGUAACUAAGAGAAAGAGUACUUAUUUAUUUAGAGCUGUAUAAGUAGUGCUAAGUGAACUGCAAUAAUAGCGUCUAUCAGUUAAUAAGGCAGACAAAGAUCUUGGUUAGCAGUGAUUCAUGGGCUUAUUUGCUAUUCACAGUUAUUCAACUGAUUCAGAUGUUCAUGAAAAAAACACCACUGGUGUCUUCUGAAAACUGUGCAGUCUUAGAAAAAUGUCGCCUAAAAUAUCAUCCUGGGGAAAAAUGUCCCUUAUUAUUUGCUAUGUUUUAUUGGGCGGGACGAAACUUUUCAGAGCUCUUAUAAUGAUACCUGCAAACGCAAACAUUUCAAACAGAAGCAACGGAAAAUGGAAACCUGCCUCGUGCCUCCCCGAAGCUCCGCAGCAGCCUGGGAGCAGC
rnacentral:lncRNA from 1 species